AAUAAAAAUUCUGAAAUUUAAAUAUAUAUGUAUUAUUAGAGAAGCACCUCCGAGUCACCCUCAAUCUCAACCCAACAGAAGCCAAGAUCUCGGGCAAAUCGGAUGGCUCACACACCUGCGAGAGCUUUUGCCGAUAAGGUACAUGCCUGCAAAUCGGCGAAGAACCCUGCAUCAAAGUUUACGCGAGCCCAUGGGUCUACAGGGGUCUUCCAGAGCGACGAGCCAACAGUCACAAUAUCCUCUCUAGGAAUCGAGAGGGAAUCCAGCUCCCGCAGAUAACCCAGAAUAGAGAAAAGUAUUGAUCGAGUAGGCAGAUUCCGGAACUGUGUGCUAAUAGAAACCCAAGCCGUGCCAAACCUCCUGGACCACUGGACAGUCCCGACAGACAUGCAGAAUGGUCUCAAGCCCACUACCAUAGCGUGGGCACAUACGAUCAACCCCGAUUCUCCGGCGAAACAGAUUAUCCUUUGUAGGGAGAAAAUUACUUAUGUAUCUCCAACAUGUAACUUUCAUUUUUUCAGGCACUUGAGCCCCCCAUAGUUGUUUGUAAA